rnacentral:lncRNA from 1 species
CUACAUAUGGCUCUGGGUCGUGCUAACUUUGUGAAGCAUGACCUACGCUCAUAAAAUCCUAACGUCUCUUACAUAGUCGACUUCCUCAUCAUAACCUCUCUGUGGACUACUUUCAUCUAUCUUGCACAAUGGGGGGUGAUGAUAUGGGUGUGGAGGACUGAUAUGAGUUGUGGUGUUUAACACUCUACAAAGCUAACUCAGCAUAGGUAUAUUUACAUUAUAAACAGCCUGGAGGUGGCAAUAGGCUCUAUAGGCUCUAUGUGUGUAUUGGGAAGAGCCAACAGUGGAAGAGCCAACAGUGGAAGAGCCAACAGUGGAAGAGCCAACAGUGCCAGUCUUGGUAGAUUCAGGUCGCUUUCCCCUGCUCAGAUGUUGCACGCAUCAACCAAUGCUUACAUACAACAUCAUCGACCGUGUCAUCGACUGACUGAAUGCUAGAACAUAUGAUGUGGUUAGCUGAUAGGUAAAAAACACCUAUCCAGUCCUGAUAAGAUCUGGCAAGAGUCAGCAACGCCUGGGCAGAGGAAUGUGUCUGCUAUGCAUGAUGACGUCAUAUCCCUACAACGAGAGGGAGGCCGACACAUUGACAGUACUAUUCAUAGACAAUAGGUGGCAGUAUAGUAUCAUAGAUCCUGCUUGUACUAAAGCUUCAAUGAGAACCUUUCCUUCUCUAGGCUCUACUCUCCAGGCCCUUUACUCUUUUCUAUUUUUGCCAAUUGCCUGCCACUGGCAUUAAACAAAGCAUGUGUGUCCAUGUAUGCUGAUGAUUCAACCAUAUACGCUAUGCGUCAGCAACCACAGCUAAUGAAGACACUGAAACCUUUAGCAAAGAGUUGCAGUCUGUUUUGGAAUGGGUGGCCAGUAAUAAACUGGUCCUGAACAUCUCUAAAACUAAGAGCAUUGUAUUUGGUAAAAAUCAUUCCUUAAGUUCUAGACAGCUGAAUCUGGUAAUGAACGGUGUGGCUGUUGAACAAGUUGAGGAGGAUAAAUUACUUGGCGAUACCUUUUGAUUGUAAACUGUCAUGGUCAAAAUAUAUAGAUUCAAUGGUUGUAAAGAUGGGGAGAGGUCUGUCCGUAAUAAAGAGAUACUCAGCUUUUUUGACACCACACUCCAGAAAGCAAGUUCUGCAGGAAUAUAGUUUUAUCUUAUCUUAAGGUAACAUAACUAAAUGACUAUCACACCGUAGCACUCACUUCUGUCAUCAUGAAGUGCUUUGAGAGACUUGUCAAGGAUCAUAUCACCUCCACCCUACCUGAUACCCUAGAGCCACUUCAAUUUGGGUACCGCCCAAAUAGGUCCACAGACGAUGCAAUCGCCAUCACACUGCACAUGGCCCUAUCCCACCUGGACAAGAGGAAUACCUAUGUAAGAAUGCUGUUCAUUGACUACAGCUCAGCAUUCAAAACCAUAGUGCCCUCCAAGCUCAUCAUUAAGCUUGAGGCCUUGGGUCUCAACCCCGCCCUGUGCAAUUGGGCCCUGGACUUCUUGACGGGCCGCCCCCAGGUGGUGAAGGUAGGAAACAACAUCUCCACUUCGCUGAUCCUCAACACUGGGGCUCCACAAGGGGGCUUGCUCAGCCCCCUCUUGUACUCCCUGUUCACCCAUGACUGCGUGGCCAUGCACACCUCCAACUCAAUCAUUAAGUUCACAGAUGACACAACAGUAGUAGGCUUGAUUACCAACAAUGACGAGACAGUCUAUAGGGAGGAGGUGAGGACAUGAAAACAGUGUGGUGUCAUGAAAACAACCUCUCACUAAAUGUCAACAAAACAAAGGACAUGAUCAUGGACUUCAGGAAACAGCAGAGGGAGCACCCUCAUAUCCACAUCGACGGGACAGCAGUGGAGAAGGUGGAAAGUUUUUUAAGUUCCUUGGCGUACACAUCAAGGAUAAACUGAAAUGGUCCACCCACACAGACAAUGUGGUGAAGAAGGCGCAGCAGUGCCUCUUCAACCUCAGGAGGCUGAAGAAAUGUGGCUUGUCACCUAUAACCCUCACAAACUUUUCAAAUGCACAAUUGAGAGCAUCCUGUCGGGCUGUAUCACCGCCUGGUACGGCAACUGCACCACCCAUAACCGCAGGGCUCUACAGAGGGUGGUGUGGUCUGCACAAAGCAUCACUGGGGGCAAACUACCUGCCCUCCAGGACACCUACAGCACCCGAUGUCACAGGAAGACCAAAAAGAUCAUCAAGGACAACAACCACCCAAGCCCCUGCCUGUUCAUCUCAAUACCAUCCAGAAGGCGAGGUCAGUACAGGUGCAUCAAAGCUGGGACCGAGAGACUGAAAAACAGCUUCAAUCUCAAGGCCAUCAGACUGCUAAACAACCAUACUAAAACAGUGGGGCUACUGCCUACAUACAGACUCAAAUCUCUGGCCACUUUAAUAAAUGGAUAACUAGUCACUUUAAUAAUGUCACUUUAAUAAUGUUUACAUAUCUUGCAUUACUCAUCUCACAUGUAAAUACUGUAUUUUAUACCAUCUAUUGCAUCGUGCCUAUGCCGCUCGGUCAUUGUUCAUCCAUAUAUGUAUAUGUAUAUAUUCUUAUUCCAUUCCUUUACUUAGAUUUGUGUGUAUUAGGUAGUUGUUGUGGAAUUGUUCGAUUACAUGUUAAAUAUUGCUGCACUGUCGGAACUAGAAGCACAAGCAUUUCGCUUCACUCUCAAUAACAUCUGCUAACCAUGUGUAUGUGACCAAUAAAAUGUGAUUUGAU